AAGGACCCCAUAUAUGUAACACCAGU
rnacentral:piRNA from 1 species